rnacentral:rRNA from 1 species
CGCGACCCCAGGUCAGGCGGGGCUACCCGCUGAGUUUAAGCAUAUCAAUAAGCGGAGGAAAAGAAACUAACGAGGAUUCCCCUAGUAACGGCGAGCGACGGGGGUAAAGUC